rnacentral:lncRNA from 10 species
AAGGCGGCGCUGGGAGCCGCUCAGAGCCCAGAGAAGCGGCGCGCGGCCAGGAGCCCCCGCUCCGCCACUGCCGUGCCUGCCUCCCGCAGCUGUCUGCCAUGCGCUCGCCGGGGCAGGGGCGCCCGGAGGGCGGCUAGAGCUGGGCCUGAGCCCGGGAACGCGCCUGAUCAGGGGUGGCGGAGCCGCGGUCCCCACAGCCGCCCCACCCGCGCCGCUGCCUCGCUGGGGCCCGGGCCCCCUUCCCGUUACUCCCCUGCUGGUGCCUCCCUCCUUGGCGCGCUUCCCACCUGCGAUCGGCGCCCUCUUCGCAGUCACGAACUCGCCAGCAGCUAGCAGCACUGACUAGUAGGAGGGCCCGCCGGAGGAGAGGACAUGCUCUGGAGUCAGAAGACAGCGAAAAGAGAAGCAGAAGCCCCGGUGGCAAGAGUCUGAAGCAGGAAGGAUGACUGUAGCCUGUGGAUUGUACUGCAGUAGGAAACUGUCCUAGCAAGGCUCCACUUUGCCCCAGCUUCAAGCUGGAAAGGAGGAGAACAUGAAACAUUGCUUGAAGACAAUGGCCGAGACAGCAGGUCCCACCCUGCACAGCCACCAGCAUCUCUCCCCUCAGCCCUGUCUCCUCUUCUGCAGUUGGGAUCUGCACAUUUAAGCCUGAAAUUGUCCUGUGAAGUGAAGUAUGAUCGGACAGCCUCUUUUCAGCUUUUAUGACAAUGGAGACAGAGGAAUUGUGGCUCUUGCCAAGGUCACAGGAUUGGAAUACAGAGCCAAGCCACCCCAGGACAUGCAAGAGCCUCAGAAGGGAAAAAAGCCCAGCAGGAAGGGAGAACAAGUAGCCUCUGUCCUGAAGUUGUAACAGCCAGGGGCCAGGAUGGAGGAGGAGGACCCCAUAAUCUGCCCAUCUGGGACUUGGCAGGGGACCUGGGAAAAUGUACCCCAACCCAUCCCUUAAGGGCCUUUGUC